rnacentral:rRNA from 1 species
UACGUAGGGGGCAAGCGUUGUCCGGAAUCAUUGGGCGUAAAGCGCGUGUAGGCGGCUCGAUAAGUCUGCUGUGAAAGUCCAAGGCUCAACCUUGGGGAUGCCGGUGGAUACUGUCGAGCUCGAGUCCGGAAGAGGAGUGUGGAAUUCCUGGUGUAGCGGUGAAAUGCGCAGAUAUCAGGAGGAACACCAAUGGCGAAGGCAGCACUCUGGGGACGUGACUGACGCUGAGACGCGAAAGCGUGGGGAGCAAACAGG